CAUGUGCCCCAACCGGGGAAUUGAUCCGUGACCUCCUGGUUCAUAGGUCAACGCUCAACCACAAAGCCACACCCGCCGGGCUAGAGAGAGGAAGGGAG